AUGCUCGCUUUGGCAGCACAUAUACUAAAAUUGGAAUGAUACAGAGAAAAUUAGCACGGCCCCUAUGCAAGGAUGACACACAAAUUUGUGAAUUAAUUUCUACAUUC